AGCUAAUACUUGCUUUAGCACUCUUGAUUAAGUUCUUGAGUGUGUACUUGUUAAGCCUUUUAAGAAAAAAGUUAUUAACUUAAGGAAUUAUAACAAAGAAGCAACACGUAAAUGGAUUUUCCAUUUUUUAGUGUGUAUCAAUCGAGUUUCUGACCUAUCAGCUUUUGAUGUUAGGGUAUUGGCCUAACAUGGCUAUGACGGGUAACGGGGAAUUAGAGUUCGAUUCCGGAGAGGGAGCCUGAGAAAUAGCUACCACAUCUAAGGAAGGCAGCAGGCGCGUAAAUUACCCAAUUCUAAAGAAGAGAGGUAGUGACAAGAAAUAACAAUACAAGGCCAAUCUGGCUUUGUAAUUGGAAUGAUGGGAAUUUAAAACCUUCCCAAAACUCAAUUGGAGGGCAAGUCUGGUGCCAGCAGCCGCGGUAAUUCCAGCUCCAAUAGCGUAUAUUAAAAUUGUUGCAGUUAAAACGCUCGUAGUUGAAUUUCAAAGAAUCGAUAUUUUAAGUAGCACUUUGUAGAUUAAUCCACAUAACUGAUACUACGUAUCGACUUUGUGCGCAUUUUUCUACUUAUGUGUUCUUUUAAUUAAAAUGAUUCUUUUUAAGAUCUUUCUUUUUUGCUUCGGCAUUUUAGGAGAUCUUGUUACUUUGAGUAAAUUAGAGUGUUCAAAGCAAACAGAUUAGAGCAUCUUUAUGCGUUUGAAUACUACAGCAUGGAAUAACAAAAUUGAACAAGUCAGAAUUUUGUUCUUUUUUCUUAUUUUGGCUUAGUUACGAUUAAUAGGAGUAGCUUGGGGGCAUUUGUAUUCAGAUGUCAGAGGUGAAAUUCUUAGAUUUUCUGGAGACAAACAACUGCGAAAGCAUUUGCCUAAAAUACUUCCAUUAAUCAAGAACGAAAGUUAAGGGAGUGAAGACGAUCAGAUACCGUCGUAAUCUUAACCAUAAACUAUGCCGACUAGGCUUUGGAUGAAAGAUUUUAAAAUAAGAGUUUUUUCUCU
rnacentral:rRNA from 1 species